GCUUUUUCGCUGGCUCACUCCUUUAGAUGCAGACGCCCCAGAGGUUGUUCCUGGCUCAUCUUGAGCGAAAAUACAUGGCUCACUUCGUCGCUAGACUGGACGCCAAUGAUAGUUCCCUCCAAUCUGACGUGGGGCUGGAGCACCUGCUACUACACGGGCCUAAAAUGCCAAUAUGCCUGAGGUCCGCAUAUCAAUUCCAUGACCGUGCGGACUACAGGCCCUUUUCUGUCCUAUAGUUAGUUGGUAUUGGAACCGCUUACCGUCGCUUUACAUGGGUAGGGGUCCUGAGAGGGAGAUCCCCCACACUGGUACUGAGACACGGACCAGACUCCUACGGGAGGCAGCAGUGAGGAAUAUUGGACAAUGGAGGCAACUCUGAUCCAGCCAUGCCGCGUGCAGGAAGACUGCCCUAUGGGUUGUAAACUGCUUUUACAGAGGAAGAACCGCACCCACGUGUGGGUGUUUUACCGUACUGUGCGAAUAAGAUUGGUACUCCCGCCCAGCAGGCGUGGUAAUAGGAGGAUCA
rnacentral:rRNA from 1 species